AACGAACGCUGGCGGCAUGCCUAACACAUGCAAGUCGAACGGGACCUUCGGGUCUAGUGGCGCACGGGUGCGUAACGCGUGGGGAUCUGCCCUUAGGUACGGAAUAACUCAGGGAAACUUGAGCUAAUACCGUAUAAUGACUUCGGUCCAAAGAUUUAUCGCCUAGGGAUGAACCCGCGUAGGAUUAGCUUGUUGGUGAGGUAAAGGCUCACCAAGGCGACGAUCCUUAGCUGGUCUGAGAGGAUGAUCAGCCACACUGGGACUGAGACACGGCCCAGACUCCUACGGGAGGCAGCAGUGGGGAAUAUUGGACAAUGGGCGAAAGCCUGAUCCAGCAAUGCCGCGUGAGUGAUGAAGGCCUUAGGGUUGUAAAGCUCUUUUACCCGGGAUGAUAAUGACAGUACCGGGAGAAUAAGCUCCGGCUAACUCCGUGCCAGCCGCCGCGGUAAC
rnacentral:rRNA from 1 species